rnacentral:rRNA from 1 species
CCUGGCUCCCAUAAAGGCUGGCGGCGCGCCUAACACAUGCAAGUCGAACGCUUGAGAGAGAGCUUGCUUUCUCAAGCGAGUGGCGAACGGGUGAGUAACGCGUGAGGAACCUGCCUCAAAGAGGGGGACAACAGUUGGAAACGACUGCUAAUACCGCAUAAGCCCACGGCUCGGCAUCGAGCAGAGGGAAAAGGAGCAAUCCGCUUUGAGAUGGCCUCGCGUCCGAUUAGCUAGUUGGUGAGGUAACGGCCCACCAAGGCGACGAUCGGUAGCCGGACUGAGAGGUUGAACGGCCACAUUGGGACUGAGACACGGCCCAGACUCCUACGGGAGGCAGCAGUGGGGAAUAUUGCACAAUGGGGGAAACCCUGAUGCAGCGACGCCGCGUGGAGGAAGAAGGUCUUCGGAUUGUAAACUCCUGUUGUUGAGGAAGAUAAUGACGGUACUCAACAAGGAAGUGACGGCUAACUACGUGCCAGCAGCCGCGGUAAAACGUAGGUCACAAGCGUUGUCCGGAAUUACUGGGUGUAAAGGGAGCGCAGGCGGGAAGACAAGUUGGAAGUGAAAUCCAUGGGCUCAACCCAUGAACUGCUUUCAAAACUGUUUUUCUUGAGUAGUGCAGAGGUAGGCGGAAUUCCCGGUGUAGCGGUGGAAUGCGUAGAUAUCGGGAGGAACACCAGUGGCGAAGGCGGCCUACUGGGCACCAACUGACGCUGAGGCUCGAAAGUGUGGGUAGCAAACAGGAUUAGAUACCCUGGUAGUCCACACUGUAAACGAUGAUUACUAGGUGUUGGAGGAUUGACCCCUUCAGUGCCGCAGUUAACACAAUAAGUAAUCCACCUGGGGAGUACGACCGCAAGGUUGAAACUCAAAGGAAUUGACGGGGGCCCGCACAAGCAGUGGAGUAUGUGGUUUAAUUCGACGCAACGCGAAGAACCUUACCAAGUCUUGACAUCCCUUGACGAUGCUGGAAACAGUAUUUCUCUUCGGAGCAAGGAGACAGGUGGUGCAUGGUUGUCGUCAGCUCGUGUCGUGAGAUGUUGGGUUAAGUCCCGCAACGAGCGCAACCCUUAUGGUCAGUUACUACGCAAGAGGACUCUGGCCAGACUGCCGUUGACAAAACGGAGGAAGGUGGGGAUGACGUCAAAUCAUCAUGCCCUUUAUGACUUGGGCUACACACGUACUACAAUGGCGUUAAACAAAGAGAAGCAAGACCGCGAGGUGGAGCAAAACUCAGAAACAACGUCCCAGUUCGGACUGCAGGCUGCAACUCGCCUGCACGAAGUCGGAAUUGCUAGUAAUCGCAGAUCAGCAUGCUGCGGUGAAUACGUUCCCGGGCCUUGUACACACCGCCC